UGUUCUGUGACUUAGUUGGGUAGAGCAAUUCUAGCGAAUAUGGAGUCGUGGGUUCAAAUCCCACCAGAACGC
rnacentral:tRNA from 1 species